AAGUCGUAACAAGGUUUCCGUAGGUGAACCUGCGGAAGGAUCAUUACAGAGAACUUGCCCUUCGGGGUAGAUCUCCCACCCUUUGUUUAUUCACUAUGUUGCUUUGGCGGGCCCGUCUCGCGACCGCCGGCUUCGGCUGGCCUGCGCCCGCCAGAGGACCUCAAACUCGAAUUUAAUGUCGUCAGAGUAUUAUACAAUAGUUAAAACUUUCAACAACGGAUCUCUUGGUUCUG
rnacentral:misc_RNA from 1 species